rnacentral:misc_RNA from 1 species
UUUCUUCCCAACGUUAGUUGAACAUCGAAAAUUGUUCACAACUGUGAAAGUCGUGUUAAAUCGAGCAUCAAGUAAAUGAAAUCUAACGUCAGAGUACCAUAGAUUGGGUACCUGUUCAAUAUCAGGUACAAUUUUCUUCCCAACGUUAUAGUAAAUCGAGCAUCAAGUAAAUGAAAUCUAACGUCAGAGUACCAUAGAUUGGGUACCUGUUCCGCAUCAGGUACAAUUUUCUUCCCAACGUUAGUUGAACAUCGAAAAUUGUUCACAACUGUGAAAGUAGUAAAUCGAGCAUCAAGUAAAUGAGAUCUAAUGUCAGAGUACCAUAAAUUAGGUACCU